UACGGGGGGGGGCAAGCGUUGUUCGGAAUUACUGGGCGUAAAGGGCUCGUAGGCGGCCAACUAAGUCAGACGUGAAAUCCCUCGGACUUAACCGGGGAACUGCGUCUGAUACUGGAUGGCUUGAGUUUGGGAGAGGGAUGCGGAAUUCCAGGUGUAGCGGUGAAAUGCGUAGAUAGUCUGGAGGAACACCGGUGGCGAAGGCGGCAUCCUGGACCAACACUGACGCUGAGUGAGCGAAAGCCAGGGGAGCAAACGGG
rnacentral:rRNA from 1 species